GCUUAACUAUUAGGAAAAUAGCUAGUGUGAUGCAUAUUUGAUCAGUUGUGAUGAUGGCACUAUUGAUCAUGCACAAGGUGUCUAGUGAAAGUAAAGGCUUAUUCUGUCUCUUAUGUGUCUUUUUCUUUACCCUAACAUUGUCAGUGUCUUCCUUCAUGCUCUUUCCUUGUUGCUUAGUAGUCUUCCCUUUGGGCUAUUAGAGAUGAUUUUUUGCAUUGGCAAACUUCUCAAUAUCUUCAACCACCAACCUGCGAUCUUCUGGAUGGAGAGUGCACAGCCUGGAUCGUCACAAACACCCUUACUGGGAUACUUAAAAGAAUCCAUAAUUCAUAUUCCCCCCUAUAAAACAGAAGGACAAAGAGAGACAAACCCAUGUUCCAUAAAAGCUCUUAGAAAUCCUGCUGGAGACAAAUCCUGGGCUCAGUGGACAUUUGGUGUGAUCAGCUGUGGCUCUCAAUAUUCUAACAACACUCAUCAUGUGCCUCAGUGGUGUCAGGAGAGAUUUGGGCUGUGUACUAAUGGCU